rnacentral:lncRNA from 1 species
GUGGUCAUGAACCUUGUGUUAAAAUUUCAUAGAUUUCUAUUAACUUAUACUAAAGUUAUUAUGCAAAAAACAAGAAAAAUUCUUAUUUGGGACCUGUUUUUGGCCCCUAAUUCCAAAAUUGUUGGGACUUAAACUCCCAAAAUCAAUCCCAACCUUCCUUUUGUGGUCAUAGACCUUAUGUUAAAAUUUCAUAGAUUUCUGUUUACUUAUACUAAAGUUAUUGUGAGAAAAACCAAGAAAAAUGCUUAUUUGGGCCCUUUUUGGCCCCAAAUUCCUAAACUGUUGGGACCAAAACACCCAAAAUCAAU